rnacentral:rRNA from 1 species
UACGUAGGGGGCUAGCGUUGUCCGGAUUUAUUGGGCGUAAAGAGCGUGUAGGCGGCCAGGUAGGUCUGCUGUGAAAACUCGAGGCUCAACCUCGAGACGUCGGCGGAAACCAUCUGGCUAGAGUCCGGAAGAGGAGAGUGGAAUUCCCGGUGUAGUGGUGAAAUGCGUAGAUAUCGGGAGGAAUACCAGUGGCGAAGGCGGCUUCCUGGCCUGUUCUUGACGCUGAGGCGCGAAAGCUAGGGUAGCAAACGGG